rnacentral:sRNA from 1 species
GCUGCCUUGCACGACUGCGACCAGUGCAGCGGAGCGGCGCCAGCGCCGGGGACGAUGGGCGGGCGCGACGAACGGAGGAGGGCGAGGUUAAGGGUCUUGAAGAGUGCGUGGAACUUCACGUCGGCGGCGCUGUGGUGGGGUCCUUAGCGAGGAGGCGGG